rnacentral:rRNA from 1 species
UACGGGGGGUGCAAGCGUUAUUCGGAAUCACUGGGCGUAAAGGGUGCGUAGGCGGUGCAUUAGGUCUGUCGUGAAAUCCCCGGGCUCAACCUGGGAAUGGCGGUGGAAAACGGUGUUCUAGAGUAUUGGAGAGGGUGGUGGAAUUCCAGGUGUAGCGGUGAAAUUCGUAGAGAUCUGGAGGAACAUCAGUGGCGAAGGCGGCCACCUGGCCCAAUACUGACGCUGAGGCACGAAAGCGUGGGGAGCAAACAGG